CACAGUCAAGAUCUAAUACUUCUUGUUGACGUAGUUUCGAUUCAACAGAUUACUGAUGGUGGAGUGGUGAUGUAGAUAUAUAUAUAUACCGAUAAGUUAUUAGGGUUUUGAUUCUUGUUAAGUUUAAUCAAGAUCCUGUUUGUUUAAGGAGGGAGAUGGCAAUGUCUAAAUACGAUCAUCAAGAAACGGACAUCAUGUUUGUACAUGGUAAAUGGAUGCGAAAGUGGGACAUAGACUACCCUUCAUCUGAUGAGGGGGAUGCUAGCUAGAUUCCAAGACUUUAAAAAUAACGUCCUUCGUCGACCUUUUAUUCCUGCAUCAGGCGCCCUUUGGGAUCUAUUAGACCCUAAGGCGGACCAUCCCAGACCGAAGAAAUCCAUUCUCCCCUUUCUUGCUUUCCGCGGGCUUGACUAUUCUGACAAUAAUGAUUAUUCUCCUAAUUUUAUGGUUCCACUCAACGAGGAGGUUGGUCUACGGUUUAUGACCCCAGAAGAGUAUCGACGCUACUGUGCUGAACAAAAAGAAGCGGACUUAAUGUAUGCUUUUCAACAAUGGAAGCUAAAGUGGGAGAAAAAAUACCCUUCAAUUGAUGAGCAGCACGCUAGUUCCAAGACUUUAAAAAUAACGUCCUUGGUCAUCCUUUUAUUCCUGCAUCAGACCCCCUUUGGGAUCUUUUGAACGAUCAGGCGGACCAGCCCGGAAUCGAGAACUUCAAAGCCCUCCGUAUCGAUAUCUGCCCGUGUACCUAUGAUUCCGAUUAUGAUGAGCUUCCAGAUGGUCUUUCUUAUAUAGUUCCAGUCAAGAAAGAGGAUGGUACAAUUGAUCUACGGUGUAUGACCCCAGAAGAGUAUCAACGCUACUCUGGUAUAAAAUUAUUAUAUGAUACCGAGGAGGAGGAUCAGUAGUCAAACACCAAAGUACUGUGCUGCCUAUCAAACACACUAGUAGUGAUGACAAAGAUGAUACCGUCAAACGCCAAAAUAUAGGCUGUAAGUAGCUUUUCCCUUUCAAGCCAAAUGAUUUACUAAUGCUAAUAAUGUAUCUUUUCUCUGUAGUUAGCAUAGGCGGGGGCCAAAAACCAGGAUGUUGCAGUGACUGUGGAUAAUGAGGAACCAUAGGAAGCAUUUUCCAAAAAGCAGCUUUCCCUGGAAGAUGCAACUUGGCCUCAACAACUUUCCUUAAUGUUCCCUUUAUCAAGUAUUUAACUAUCUUAAAAAAAUUUAUCUAAUGAAUUUUAGUAUUUGACUAUCUUAUGGACAUCAAGUGUACCCAUCUUAUAUUAGCAAGUUUUACAUAUAAAUAUGACUUGUUUUACCUUGCUUGUUA